ACAAAGCCGACCUCCUCGCCCCGCCCCCUCCGUCCCGCCCGGGCUGCUCGCCCCGCCCCCGCGCGGCGCUGGGAGGCGGGAGCUGUCUCUGAGAACCUGCGGGAGAGCGCCCGGGCUUGCUGCUUCCCGGACCCGCGCGUCUCUCGAGCACCCUCGUCCCACCACCUUGUGAGGCCGUAGUGUUAUUUUUAUUUUUUAGAUCAGCAGACUGAGACUCGAGGUGACGUCACUCCGCAGAGAGGUUAGAGCACAGCAGACUGAGCCACCCAGAACUGGCCCCUCCGGUGGACCAGCCCCUGCGGAUUCACAGACCACUGGUCCUGGAAGGGACCUUGUCAAGCAGGCCCAUAAGGUAAUCCCUCCCCGGAAAGAGAAGAUCACAGAUUUUGUCAUAUUAAAUACAUUGUAGAAAUUCAUGGUAGCAGGGGCAAGAUCAUUUAAACAAAACAGAAAGUUUCAGAGAGAGAAAAAGCCAAGGACAAAGAUUAAUCAUUUUUCUGCUUAAAAAAAAUGGCUUUGAUUUGCAACCAUGGAAUGCUCCACUGUUUCUCUUCUCUUCAAAGACAUCUACUGAAAGGAUUCCUUAACCUUACCAAGUGGCCAAAAUACUUUUCUGAGAAGAGUCACAGAGCAUAGGCCCCCCUAGGGUACACAGAGAUUUCAUUAGUCCCUAGAUGUUUCCUGAUCCUUUUAAAAACUGGUUAAAUUCAGAGACUCUAGGCAAUUACUUCUUUCAGAACCUGUGAGGCAAAAACGAAAGAAGAAGGCAGGACACGCAGUGUAACAAACCUUGGAAUGGACUUCGCCAGACUUCAUCAGAAGAAAGCAGUGCAAGAGGGGACUGCAGAGGAAAGCUGGGGCUUGGGAAACCAGCAGCAGGGGCCACGUGGGCAGGUGGUUUCUGUGUGAACCUCUGAUCUGUGCAACAUAAACAGGAAAUGUUGAAGGCUUCCAGUGCUCUUUUUUGAUGUCGAGAACAUUCUACGGCACAAAAGAGUUUGCCUCUCACUGUUUCUCAUAUAUGGAGGUUUUCUAAUCAGCAUCCUGAACAGAAUUGAAUUAAAAAUAAAAACCAAAGUAAAACUAGCUUUAUCUCUAGAUUUUAAAAUUUUCAUUUUUUUUAGGGUGGCACCUAUACUGUUACCUUGUAGGUACCAACUAGAAUAUUCUUUCUAACUGCCUGUCAU
rnacentral:lncRNA from 1 species